rnacentral:lncRNA from 10 species
AAAACCUGAAAAACCCAUGACACUCCCUUUCCUGUUAGCUGUGUGGUGUUAUGAAAUGGACUGACAGGAUUUAGCUUUCCCAGCACCACUGAAGGACCCUCAGCAACUUCAAGUUCAAAAUGUCCUCACCUUCGCCUGAUUUUGGGAAGUAUUGCAUCAACACGUUUUUGCAAAAAGAAUGGAACUUUAAAAUUUUUUCUUGGCGUUCUCUUUCUCUUUAUACAUGAGCAAUAAAUGUGUGCAGAAGUCAUUCUAGCCAACAAGAUUGUCAGGCCGAGACGGGCAGAUCACGAGGUCAGGAGAUCGAG